UACGGAGGGGGCGAGCGUUGUCCGAAGUUACUGGGCGUAAAGCGCGCGUAGGCGGGUUGCUAAGUCCGCUGUGAAAGCCCGAGGCUCAACCUCGGAGGGUCGGUGGAUACUGGCAGUCUUGAAGGUGGUAGGGGGAGAUGGAAUUACCGGUGUAGCGGUGAAAUGCGUAGAGAUCGGUAGGAACACCAGUGGCGAAGGCGGUCUCCUGGCCCACUCUUGACGCUGAGGCGCGAAAGCCAGGGGAGCAAACGGG
rnacentral:rRNA from 1 species